AUGGAAGAACUCAUAUUUUCUUUUAGAAAAAAUAUUAUUAAGAGGAGUAGAAAUGAAUAAUUAGAAAGAAAUAUCAUUACAAUGAGUUCCACUAAUGGGGCAUGCAUGUGGGACAGUUGAAAAGUUUUAUGAUUUCUGCAACUGCAAUGCUCUCGUGAAAAUGUAAGUGUUAUGAAUGCUAUUGCAAGUUUUAUCAAUUGUGGUAAAAUCAUAUUGAAAUAUUUGCCUUUUUAUUCCUGCUACUCUAAGCAAGCUAGUUGCUGCUAUGUCUCUCUCUCCACUGAUUCUCCACACCUUUUAAUAAAAAUUAGGCCGCUCACCACCAAAAUUUUUUUGCUACUAAUUUGCACAUUAUACCUAACUCGUUCUUCCCACCAUAAUAAAAUCCAUCCCUAGCCAUCAAACACUUGUGCAAAGCCCAAGUAAACAUCGCAAAGAUGAAGCAACAAUUUCUCUUCUCAUUUUCAUUUUUUAUCUUCUUCUUAUUCUUCUAUUGUACCACAACCCUAGCCCAGUCACCUGCGCCGGCUCCGGCUCCAGCGCCACCACGAGGCCCCACUAAUGUCAUCAAAAUCCUCAAGAAGGCUGGCCAAUUCAAGACCUUUAUCCGUCUCUUGAAAUCCACCCAGUUGGAUAGCAACUUAAACUCCCAGCUAGGGAACACAAACAACGGAUUAACAAUCUUCGCACCAAGCGAUAGUGCAUUUUCAAGCCUCAAGAAACGUACUCUCAGCUCCUUGACCAGUCAAGAAAUGGUGGAGUUAGUUCAGUUUCACAUUGUCCCAACAUUCAUCUCCGCUACCCAAUUCGAUACUGUGACUAACCCCUUAAAGACACAUGCUGGAUCAGGCGGUAGGUUUCAGCUCAACGUGACUACAAGUGGGAGUUCAGUGAAUAUAAGAACAGGACUCACCAAUACUACCAUCUCUGACACUGUAUACACAGAUGACCAUCUGGCUAUAUAUAAGGUGGAUAAGGUGCUACUUCCUUUGGACAUAUUUACCCCAAAGCCUCCGGCACCGGCACCGGCACUCGCAACAACAAAGACUAAGGCAGAGACUCCUGAUGAAGAAGAAGAUGAAGUUCAUAAGGAUACUUCUGGUGCAGUAAGUUCUGUUGUGGAUUAUAAUCUGGUGGUGUUGUUAGGAGUAAUUGGUACAGUUUCUGCAACAUUUUCUGUAUAACAAUAUAUAGCAGUUUGGUGGGUUGUGGGGUCAGUUAUAGAAUGGUGUAUGAUUUUGCUUAGUUGGAAGUAAUGGACGGCGGUGAUGUGAUGGAAAGAUGGAGAGAGAUUUUGAAGAAUUAAAGCAAUUUGCAUGAUUUAAUGAAUAAGUUGUGGUUGAGAUUGAAUUUUAAAGUUGUGAUAAUGUUUUGUUUUGUCUUGUUUGAGCUAUGUGAUCAUAAUAUUAUUCUCACAAAGAUGUAAAGUGUGGGUAAUAUGGAGGUGGUCAAUCAGUUUUCCUAUUUUUCAAAUUAGUAAACAACUUGUUGCUUUUCAAAUUUUAAUUAAGUAGAGUACAGAGAAAUACAUUGUCCUCAAUAAUGUAAAAUUCAUGA
rnacentral:misc_RNA from 1 species